CCUACGGGGGGCAGCAGUGGGGGAUAUUGCACAAUGGGGGAAACCCUGAUGCAGCGACGCCGCGUGAGUGAAGAAGUAUUUCGGUAUGUAAAGCUCUAUCAGCAGGGAAGAAAAUGACAGUACCUGACCAAGAAGCCCCGGCUAACUACGUGCCAGCAGCCGCGGUAAUACGUAGGGGGCAAGCGUUAUCCGGAUUUACUGGGUGUAAAGGGAGCGUAGACGGUUAUGUAAGUCUGGAGUGAAAGCCCGGGGCCCAACCCCGGGACUGCUUUGGAAACUGUGUAACUGGAGUGCAGGAGGGGCAGGCGGAAUGCGUGGUGUAGCGGUGAAAUGCGUAGAUAUCAGGAGGAACACCGGCGGCGAAGGCGGCCUGCUGGACUGAAACUGACGUUGAGGCACGAAAGCGUGGGGAGCAAACAGGAUUAGAUACCCCAGUAGUC
rnacentral:rRNA from 1 species